AAUCACAUAGGCAAGAAAGCACUACAUUGUAUUUACCCAGAAAGGUAAUACCAAAUUUUUAUCUCUAGAAUUACUGAAAAAAUUGAAGGUAGAAAUUUACGUUGAUUGCUUAAAAAAUUAGUGGCGACAACUACCUGAUCGUCAUCAUUUUCCAAUAUUACUUUUGGGGUUAAAGUACGCGAUUGUUGAAACUUGAAGUACAAGAUGUUUUAUAUGCAUUUUAUUUUUAAUACCGUUAGAAUGGUGAUGUUUUUGUUUUUGGUGCAAGUGCUGAGAAAGGUUUGCGCGAGGCGCCAUGGAACCAGAGAACAUAUUAAUUACUGCAUUGUUUGUCCCAUACAAGUACAAAUAUUUCCCAGUGUCCUUAAAGUACUCACGCGUGUCUGCCCAUGCCUUACUUCACACAAAUGCAGUAAAUAAAGCUAGGUUUGUGCGUCAUCAGAAAUUUGUACUUUCCGAAAGAGGUUUAUUUUUUCACUGUACCGACUGACUGCUAACAUUGUACUUAGCAAGAACGCAAAUGGUUUUGAUUUUUUAGUUUGAUCGAGCAGCUGUUGUGCGUACAUUUAUUUUGGAUGCUACAUCAGAGUUUGCUGUGUGGUUCGCUUCGGGCUUCAAUAGAGUGCCACAUGCUCAUUUGUACCCAAGGAAUUAAACACCACAAUCAUUGUACUGUCUGCUUUUUAUACUCGCAGUCACUUGGCAAACAAAUAAUGUAUUUUCUUUCUUUAUACACAGUGUGCGUCACAGCAUGACUGGAAAGAGAACAGCAAAAGUGAUUUCUUUCUUCAACCUGGCUUUGUUAUGCAUUUGGUUCUGUGAUAUGUGGAGGAUUUGUGUGAGACUGUUUUGCAUUGCACAUUUUUGGAACAAGAAGAUGUUUAUGUUUUUUCAUAUACAGAAUACAGAUUAUUUAAAAUCAGUUUGGUUUGACAAUGAGGGCUUAACAUUGUGUGUCAAAAGAGAUUUGAAACAAAACUUACUGUAACUUUCCAAUCUGGUUUAGAUAACAUUAUUUUGAUUAAACUUCAAUGCCAGUGGACACUGUCGCAGCAAGAUCAAUAAAGUUCCUUAACAAAAUAA
ensembl:lncRNA